UACGGAGGGUGCGAGCGUUGUCCGGAAUCACUGGGCGUAAAGGGCGCGUAGGUGGCGCGGCAAGUCAACGGGUGAAAGCUCGACGCUCAACGUCGAGUCGGCCGUCGAUACUGCUGGGCUUGAGCACUGUAGAGGCAGAUGGAAUUCCGGGUGUAGCGGUGGAAUGCGUAGAGAUCCGGAAGAACACCGGUGGCGAAGGCGGUCUGCUGGGCAGUAGCUGACACUGAGGCGCGACAGCGUGGGGAGCAACAGG
rnacentral:rRNA from 1 species